rnacentral:piRNA from 1 species
GAUACAGUGAAUCUAUAAUCUCUUGGCCUC